CCCUUAGAUGUUCUGGGCCGCACGCGCGCUACACUGACGGAGGCAGCGAGCAUGUCCUUCGCCGAGAGGUGUGGGGAAUCUUGUGAGUCUCCGUCGUGCUGGGGAUAGAUGGUUGCAAUUGUCGAUCUUGGACGAGGAAUUCCUAGUAAGCGCGAGUCAUCAGCUCGCGCUGAUUACGUCCCUGCCCUUUGUACACACCGCCCGUCGCUACUACCGAUUGGAUGGCUUAGCGAGAAUUUUGGAUCGGAGCCCGGGUGGUCGGCAACGGUCGCCCGGGAGAUCUGAGAAAUCAUUCCAGCUUGGUCAUCUAGAGGAAGUAAAAGUCGUAACA
rnacentral:rRNA from 1 species